CUAACCUCCCCCCGUCGCUGCCAAUUCAGCGAUCGGGCCUGAGAACCCGGCAA
rnacentral:ncRNA from 1 species